rnacentral:rRNA from 1 species
CUUUACUAUAGCCUGGAAUUGUGUUCGGGCUUCGCUUACGCAGGAUAGGUGGGAGGCUAUGAAGUUCUGCUUGUGGGCAGAAUCGAGCCAACGGUGAGAUACCACUUUAGCGAGGCUAGAAUUCUAACCCUUGCCCAUGAUCUGGGAAGGAGACAGUUUCAGGGGGGUAGUUUGACUGGGGCGGUCGCCUCCUAAAAGGUAACUGAGGCGCGCAAAGGUCCCCUCAGUCUGGACGGAAAUCAGACAACGGGUGUAAAGGCAAAAGGGAGCUUGACUGCAAGACCUACAAGUCGAGCAGGGUGGAAACACGGUCUUAGUGAUCCGACGGUGCCGCAUGGAAGGGCCGUCGCUCAACGGAUAAAAGUUA